CAGAAUGAAUGCACUUGAGUUGAUUGAAGCACGCUUCCAUGGUCAUGAGCUCUGUGGUUGCAUCUGUGUGAUAGGAGCAUGCAGACCAAUAUGGAUCACAAUGGAUGCAUCAAGUGGGCUUCUGCUUGAUGGAAACCUGUAUUGCUGUUGCGUUUGGAAAGAAACUAAUAGCGAUAAUCUCGAGGUGAUUUAUGCAUUCUUCCAUGGCCACCAGCCUUAUGGCUGCAUCUCCGCGUUAGAGCUUAGAGAUCAAUAAUGGAUGCAGUGAGCUGUUUCAACCAUUCUGUUGGGAUCAAGAUUGUUGUGUUGCCUCUGUGUUUGGAAAGAGGCCAAGAAUGGAUACGCUCAGGUGAUUUAAGCAGUCUUCCAUGGUCACGAGCUCUGUGGUUGCCUCUGUAUAUUAAGAGCACAGAGAUUAAAAAUGGACCCACUCAAGCUGACUUCAGAAUUCCUCCUUGGUCACAAGCUUUUUGAUUGCAUGUCUGCAUUAGGAGCCUAGAGAACAAUGUGAGUAAUAGCUAAAGUUCUUAUCUUGUUUUGCAUAGUUUGUUUAUGGGCAGUCACUGUAUAAUUCAAAAGUGUGAAAUAUAAUCAAAGAAGGUGAGCUGUAGCUUAGUAAUAAGCAUGGGAUUUAUAUGAGGUAUUGUAUUUUUUAGUGUAUACAUGAAAUACUACAAUUAUUAUUAACAUAAGAGAUAUUGAAGUGAGAAUGAUUUUAAGUACAUGUUAGGGAUAUAAAUCUCUUGCAUUUUUGUGAAUCACAGAGUUUUAAAAUUAUAACUAUUAAAUUAAUGUAUAAAUAACUUAGAAAUGAAUUGAGGAAAAGUGGGCCCUCCUGGAUCAAUGAUAAAACUUGCUGACAUAUGAGUCUUGGAUAAUGGAUGAUACGUGUGUGGAACUCUGAGGUCCAACACAAAAGAAAGGUGAUUUUUUUUCAUGCACUUUCAUUCUAUUAUUGUAAUCAGAUCAAUAAAAGAAUCAAUGAACAAAAAUAUAAGUAAAUCGAGAUAAAAUAGAUGAGGCAUUGUCCAAAUAUAGAAAUAUGUGGCAAGGUA